rnacentral:rRNA from 1 species
ACGCACGCUGGCGGCAUGCCUCGCCCCUGCCAGUCGAACGCGACCUUCGGGUCUAGUGGCGCACGGGUGCGUAACGCGUGGGAACCUGCCCUUAGGUUCGGAAUAACUCCCCGAAAGGGGUGCUAAUACCGGAUAAUGUCUUCGGACCAAAGAUUUAUCGCCUUUGGAUGGGCCCGCGUUGGAUUAGCUAGUUGGUAGGGUAAAAGCCUACCAAGGCGACGAUCCAUAGCUGGUCUGAGAGGAUGAUCAGCCACACUGGGACUGAGACACGGCCCAGACUCCUACGGGAGGCAGCAGUGGGGAAUAUUGGACAAUGGGCGAAAGCCUGAUCCAGCAAUGCCGCGUGAGUGAUGAAGGCCUUAGGGUUGUAAAGCUCUUUUACCCGGGAUGAUAAUGACAGUACCGGGAGAAUAAGCUCCGGCUAACUCCGUG